CCCUUUUUAUAUGAGCUCUGUCUGUGCCUUUGUGGUGGACGAGGUGCAGAGCUGCUUACAGCCCCCUGCAGCCACCCUACCAGUUCCCCCUGUCCUCGCGGUGGCCGUUUCAACCACACUACCAGCUGACAUCCAAGCAGACCCGGCUUCUUCCCUCCUGGAGGUUGAGGAUAUCACCCCUAAUACAGAGGCAGACCCGGCAUCUUCCCACCUGGAGUUUGAGGACAUCACCUGUAAGACAGAGGCAGAUCCGGCUUCUUCCCAAC
rnacentral:lncRNA from 13 species